UUAUAGAAAUUAUAAGCAAUUAACCAUCCUCAACUUCAUGUUUGCAGACUGUGAAAGGGGGUGUUUCAGAGACACGCAUUGAGAAACGAAUCGUCAUUACUGGGGAUGCUGAUAUUGACCAUGAUCAGGCCCUGGCUCAGGCAAUUAAAGAGGCCAAAGAGCAGCACCCUGAUAUGUCUGUGACCAAAGUAGUGGUACACAAAGAGACAGAGAUCACGCCAGAGGACGGGGAUGAUUGAUCGCAGGAUUAACCACAUCUUCACAAAAGAAGUAACACAUACACAUCAUUAGGAAUGAUUUUGGAGUCUAAAUGGAGUCAUGCACAUGACUUUGUUUGUCUGAAUACAUCCACUAAUGACCUUUCACAUCAUACUGGAGCACGUUGAUACGAGGACCACAUUUCGCCCUCACUAAAUAAGGACAUUGGCAUAAGCCUUUCCAUUCCAGAAUAUACAUAUGAGCAGCAGAUGAAUAUUGCAUGACUAGAAUAAACUUAUCACAAAAAUGAACCCCCGCAUUUUCCAAAUCCACAGUAGAAUCUUUCACGUCAUUUAGGUUAUUGUUUUAUCUGCACGCAAAGAAUAAAAGAUCACUGGUACAAAAAAUUAUUUAAAGAAUUGGAGGGAAUAAUCCAGCCUUUGACAGUAUGUAAUUUAAAAAAAAGCUGAGCAAGAUAGAAAGAGGAAUGAGUUGGUUGUCGUUCAUUUUGAUAGUUUUUGGUUUAGAAGUGAGUAACUAUCACUCCAAGGUUGGUGAGAAAAAAAGCGUAAUUGUAACAUGAGGGAUAUGUCAUAACUUACAGUAGAUGUGCCAAUAACAGUAUAAGCCCAUAUCUAUUAUAAUACAAAGCAACUUGAAGCUUAUAACUGGAAACCUUGAUAUUCAAUGGCAAUGCCUGUGAAAAACAUGAAUAACCUUAACCAUUUUAGAAGGAAUUGUUUUGCUGCGUUUUGUGUGUUGUCAGCAUAAUUUGAUGUCACCUAACAUUUUUUUUAAAACAAAAUAUAUAUAUAUAUAUAUAUUUUACUUGAAGGACUGGUUUUGUUAGAUGAGCACAUUCUUUUAUGUUAGAACCAGAAGUCCAGGUAGACUAGCUCACGAUUACUUGUGGAUGUUGACUUUCCCAUAGAAGAGGUGUCAGUAUAUUUUUUUCAAACCGAGCCGAUUUUGCUCAUUUUCUGUUGCUUGUGAAUGUGACUUCUCGAGAAGGAUUCUCCCCACUUACUACCUGCGACCUCUAUUUUUCAUCACUGACAAUGACAGCAUUGAUUCUUCCCAAAUACUCUGCUUAGACUCCAGAUUCAGAGCAAAGCCUUAAACUGAACAUAAACUAACAGCAACUCUCCAUUGGAAGCUUUGAAAUUAUGAAGCGUUUAUGAUUUACAAAGUUCGUACAGCUAAUUGUAGGGUACAGUCUUCAUCAGAUGUUCUGCUGCAAUGUAUUAAAUGUUGAAUGUAUGUUUCUUCAUGGUGAAAUAAAAGUGGUAAAGGCAUAAA